rnacentral:rRNA from 1 species
GACACACGGCGGGUGCUAACGUCCGUCGUGAAGAGGGAAACAACCCAGACCGCCAGCUAAGGUCCCAAAGUCACAGUUAAGUGGGAAACGAUGUGGGAAGGCUCAGACAGCCAGGAUGUUGGCUUAGAAGCAGCCAUCAUUUAAAGAAAGCGUAAUAGCUCACUGGUCGAGUCGGCCUGCGCGGAAGAUGUAACGGGGCUAAACUGUGCACCGAAGCUGCGGCAGCGACGCUUAUGCGUUGUUGGGUAGGGGAGCGUUCUGUAAGCCUGCGAAGGUGUCCUGUGAGGGAUGCUGGAGGUAUCAGAAGUGCGAAUGCUGACAUAAGUAACGAUAA